AGCACUGAGUGGUGCGUUUCACCCCAUUUCCCCAGCCUAGCUUGCCUGUCCACCUGCGGGAGUGGCAGCAGUGUGAGCUGUGGUCUCUGUGGAUUGCAGGGAUUCUGGUGGUGGGUCGGCGGGGUCUGUGCAAGGGCCAUUUGACAGGCCUCUUUAAACCAGAAGUGUUUUCCUAAACUCUUCGGGUUUGUGCCCCACAUGUUUCUUUUGUCUGACUUUAAGAAAUGGCAUUCGCGGUUGAAGCUACAGAUUGAUGCCCAAUGACAGUUUGGGCUCUGUCCCUUGUUUGCUACGUAGUAUGCUUAUAUUUAUUUUAUUACAAAUGAUACAUCAUUGUAUGUCCUCUUUGCUCCAUUACUUUUAUAUUUCUAAGUGGUUGGCUUCUUUGUUUAAACUUUUAUGAUUUGUAGCUUCAUUGCAUUACAAGAAAGCAAGAGUGGUGUAAAUUUUGCAUUUUAAAUAUUUGCUUAGAUUUACUUUGCAUCUAAAUGGUUGCAGUAGGCAUCCCUGUGCGAGGCGCUCCUGCAACGCCAAAGCCCUGCUCAUCUUGUCUUCCCACCCCUCGCUGGACUCAUUUAUUAUGGCCUUCAGAGUGGACCUAAUCCCUUCCCCCAUAUUUAUAAAGAUUUCCCUUUUUUUUGGUGUUUUGCUGCUGUCUUGGUGAGUUCACAAAUGCUGCUUACUGUUAGCACUCCAUCUUUAUUUGCAUAUGUGAAGAUUAUAAAAUGAUUCCUGAUGUAACAGUCAAUGCUUCCUGUUGUAAAUUCAAUUUUGCAAUAUUAAUGUGCCAGCCCCAGCUUUCUUGACUUUUACUAUAGUCUGCUUUUUUUCAUCUUUUCAUUUUAAACCUUUCUGUGUUAUUUUGCUUUAUGAAGUCUCUUAUAAGUGGUAAGACAUUAGACUGGUCUUUUUUUUUGUAAUCAGAAAUCCUUUAUAUUUACAUAAUUCUACCUGGUAUUUGGAAUGAGUGUGUCAUAUUGACCUCUCGUCCUUCCCCUCCCCCUUUACCCCCUCCUUCCCUCCCUCCUUCCCUNNNNNNNNNNCCUUCUUUCCCCUCCCUUCCUUCUUCCUUCCCCUCCCUCCUUUCUUCCCUCCCAUCCCUCCCUUCUCCUCCCAUCCCUCUCUCCUCAGGAGCAUCUGCUGUGUGUGGUUUGGCUCUGUAAGACCUUCACAUCCAACCUGCCUCUGUUC
rnacentral:lncRNA from 1 species